rnacentral:rRNA from 1 species
GCCUUGUACACACCGCCCGUCACACCACGGGAGUUGGGAGUACCCGAAGUAGGUUGCCUAACCGCAAGGAGGGCGCUUCCUAAGGUAAGACCGAUGACUAGGGGUGAAGUCGUAACAAGGUAGCCGUAUCGGAAGGUGCGGCUGGAUCACCUCCUUU